rnacentral:rRNA from 1 species
GUGAGGAAUAUUGGUCAAUGGGCGAGAGCCUGAACCAGCCAAGUAGCGUGCAGGAUGACGGCCCUAUGGGUUGUAAACUGCUUUUAUAGGGGAAUAAAGUGAGCUACGUGUAGUUUUUUGCAUGUACCCUAUGAAUAAGGACCGGCUAAUUCCGUGCCAGCAGCCGCGGUAAUACGGAAGGUCCGGGCGUUAUCCGGAUUUAUUGGGUUUAAAGGGAGCGCAGGCGGCGGCGUAAGUCAGUUGUGAAAUCGUGCGGCUUAACCGUGCAAUUGCAGUUGAUACUGCGUCGCUUGAGUGCACACAGGGAUGUUGGAAUUCAUGGUGUAGCGGUGAAAUGCUUAGAUAUCACGAAGAACUCCGAUCGCGAAGGCAUUGUGCCGGGGCAUAACUGACGCUGAGGCUCGAAAGUGCGGGUAUCAAACAGGAUUAGAAACCCCGGUAGUCC